rnacentral:siRNA from 1 species
UCCCUGCCCUUUGUACACACCG